rnacentral:rRNA from 1 species
CCCGGGAAACUGGGGCUAAUAUCCGAUAGGUGAGAAAACCUGGAAUGGUUUUUCAUCCAAAGGGCUUUGAAGACAUGCUUUUCAUUGUCGCCUGGGGAUGGGGCCGCGUCCGAUCAGGUUGUUGGUGAGGUAAUGGCUCACCAAGCCUUUAACCGGUACGGGCCGUGAGAGCGGUAGCCCGGAGAUGGGUACUGAGACAAGGACCCAGGCCCUACGGGGCGCAGCAGUCGCGAAAACUCCGCAAUGCACGGAAGUGUGACGGGGCUACCCCGAGUGCUAUCCGCUGAGGAUGGCUUUUCCUUGGUAUAACUAGCCAGGGGAAUAAGGAGAGGGCAAGACUGGUGUCAGCCGCCGCGGUAAUACCAGCUCUCCGAGCGGUAGGGACGAUUAUUGGGCUUAAAGCGUCCGUAGCCGGCUUAGCAAGUCUCCUGUUAAAUUCAGCGACCUAAUCGUUGAGCCGCGGGAGAUACUAUUAGGCUAGGAGGCGGGAGAGGUCGACGGUACUUCCGGGGUAGGGGUGAAAUCCUAUAAUCCCGGGAGGACCACCAGUGGCGAAGGCUGUCGACUAGAACGCGCUCGACGGUGAGGGACGAAAGCUGGGGGAGCGAACCGGAUUAGAUACCCGGGUAGUCCCAGCUGUAAACGAUGCGGGCUAGGUGUUGGGGUGGCUACGUGCCACUUCAGUGCCGCAGGGAAGCCAUUAAGCCCGCCGCCUGGGGAGUACGGCCGCAAGGCUAAAACUUAAAGGAAUUGGCGG